UUUUCUUAGUUUAGUGAUAACCUCAGGCUCUGAUCUCAUCAGAUCUCACAAGGUAAAUAGGGUCAGGCCAGGUCAGUAUUCAGAUGGGAAACUUCCAAGAAAACUUGAAUGUUUGGAAGAA
ensembl:rRNA 5S_rRNA 5S ribosomal RNA